rnacentral:rRNA from 1 species
UGCACCACACCUACGGGUGGCAGCAGUCGAGGAUCUUCCGCAAUGGGCGCAAGCCUGACGGAGCGACGCCGCGUGUGGGAUGAAGGCCUUCGGGUUGUAAACCACUGUCACUCGUUAAGAAAGGGUCUGGCGUUAACAGCGUCAGGCACUGACUAAGGCGAGAGAGGAAGCCACGGCUAACUUCGUGCCGGCAGCCGCGGUAAGACGAAGGUGGCGAGCGUUGUUCGGAAUCACUGGGCAUAAAGCGCACGUAGGCGGUGACGUAAGUCGGGUGUGAAAUCCCUCGGCCUAACCGAGGAACUGCGCCCGAUACUGCGUUGCUUGAGGAUCAGAGGGGUGCAUGGAAUUUCCGGUGGAGCGGUGAAAUGCGUUGAUAUCGGAAGGAACUCCGGCGGCGAAAGCGAUGCACUGGCUGAUUUCUGACGCUGAGGUGCGAAAGCCAA